rnacentral:rRNA from 1 species
AUGGCGACCAUGUUGGCCUUGAGCCCCUUCACUGGUGCCGCUGUCGUCGGCCGCUCCGCCUCCUGGUCUCCGGCGGUGCCGCGCCGGCGUGCCCUCCUCGUCAGGGCCCAGACCGAGCCGGAUGCCGAGCCAACCAAGGAGACGACGACGAGCGCAUCGACAUCCUCCCCUAGCCCAACCCCAAGCCCGAGCACGACCCUGGUUGCGCCCAAGCCCAAGUCCAAGGCUGCUAACGCUAACCCCUCGGUCUGGGACGCGCUCGCGUUCAGCGGCCCGGCACCGGAGCGCAUCAACGGACGGCUCGCUAUGGUGGGCUUCGUGGCGGCGCUCUCUGUUGAGGCGGCGCGCGGCGGCGGGCUACUCGACCAGGCCGGCAGCGGCGCCGGGCUGGGAUGGUUCCUGACAACCGCGGCUGUGUUUUCCGUGGCGUCUCUGGUACCGCUGCUUCAGGGACAGAGUGUGGAGAGCAAGUCCAGCGGCGUAUGGACCGCCGACGCCGAGCUAUGGAACGGCCGCUUCGCCAUGCUCGGCCUCGUCGCACUGGCCGUCACCGAGUUCAUCACCGGCACGUCCUUCGUCAACGUCUGA